GCGGGUUUAGCUCAGUUGGGAGAGCGUCAGACUGAAGCCAACUUCACCACAGUGACAACAAAGUCAAUCUGAAGGUCGUGUGUUCGAUCCACACAAACCGCA